rnacentral:rRNA from 1 species
AGAGUUUGAUCAUGGCUCAGAUUGAACGCUGGCGGCAGGCCUAACACAUGCAAGUCGAACGGUAACAGGAUUAGCUUGCUAAUCGCUGACGAGUGGCGGACGGGUGAGUAAUGCUUGGGAACUUGCCUUUGCGAGGGGGAUAACAGUUGGAAACGACUGCUAAUACCGCAUAAUGUCUACGGACCAAACGGGGCUUCGGCUCCGGCGCAAAGAGAGGCCCAAGUGAGAUUAGCUAGUUGGUAAGGUAAAGGCUUACCAAGGCAACGAUCUCUAGCUGUUCUGAGAGGAAGAUCAGCCACACUGGAACUGAGACACGGUCCAGACUCCUACGGGAGGCAGCAGUGGGGAAUAUUGCACAAUGGGGGAAACCCUGAUGCAGCCAUGCCGCGUGUGUGAAGAAGGCCUUCGGGUUGUAAAGCACUUUCAGUUGUGAGGAAAAGUUAGUAGUUAAUACCUGCUAGCCGUGACGUUAACAACAGAAGAAGCACCGGCUAACUCCGUGCCAGCAGCCGCGGUAAUACGGAGGGUGCGAGCGUUAAUCGGAAUUACUGGGCGUAAAGCGCACGCAGGCGGUUUGUUAAGCUAGAUGUGAAAGCCCCGGGCUCAACCUGGGAUGGUCAUUUAGAACUGGCAGACUAGAGUCUUGGAGA